AUAAAUGUAACUUUGACUAUUUGACACCUCACGUGCAAAGCCCGCGAAAGAACCGGAGGUUAUAUAAGCUGCGGUCGUCACGUGACGCGCACAGCCGGACUCUGACGGACAUCGCCUGACGGGAGAGCUUUCACGAGAUUGUCAUCCGAUUGUUUAGCUGCUGCACCCCAAAGCCUCCACACCACACCACAGCACACCACACCACAGCACACCACAGCACAGCACAGCACAGCACAGCACAGUCUUUGGCUUUUGUGCUGGAUGGAGAAACUGAGAAGUUUAUAAACAGAAGGCAUGGAAGAAGAGAGCAGGUCCUAAAACAAAGAAAUUCUUCUUAAGGAUAAACCUGAGGUCCUGGGAGUUCUUAGAGGAAAGGGGUUUUCCCGAGUUGGUGAUUGGCUGGAAGUUCAGUAGUCUUUGAAGGGAUGUCUUGGGAAGCCAAUGGUUGGGCGUUGGCUGAGGAUGGUCUUGGAGUCCGUUGCUGGUUGAAGUUUGAAGCGGGUCCAGUCGGAGCUGGACUUUGCGGCAAACUUAACUUUUGAACACGAGACUCAACAGAAAGAAAAUAAACUAAAGUAAAAGAAUACAAUGAGUAACGAGACUAGGUGGUUUUUCUUCUCAUCGUGGUGUUAGGUAGCAACUGGCCUGUAGGCCAGAGCACGCUCAAAGAGCGCUAAAACAGCGUCAAAACGCGGUGGCGAGAAGAAGAGAGAAGGACGAGAGAGGGAAGAUUUGAUGCUGUCCUGAGGUUUUAAACUCGGCUUUUGGACACAUCCCAUCUGGUGUCUUGACCAAUUAGAUAGGCUAUUAUCUUAGCUAGGGUUGUUCCUUCCAUCAUAAAUCAGCAUGUUAUCAGUCACAUGGUCUGAAUUUUACACACUCUUGCAAAGUAUAAUUUCGGAUGUGAUUUCUAUAACCAGAAUAUGAUACAUUUGACAAAGAAUCAAUUGGAAGAAACGUUUCAAGCUAGAAUUGUCAAGCUCAUACAUACCAAACACGAAUAAACCUUAAAGUCAUUCAAUAGUUAUUAAAAAGACAUACAUAAUAUGUGCUUAAAACAUGACAAUCUAAUGUGUGGGUUACAUACAUAAUAUAGUGUUAUGCCUGGAAAUGUCCUUUUAGGAUGAUUUUACGUGCAUAUGAAAAAGAAAGUCUCUGUGCAUUUCUGUGGAGACCAAAAGACAUGUUCUUUGGACAAAGGAAUUUCAGUCUCAGUCUUUGUCUUGUAUGUGUGGGGGAAAAGUAAAGCUAAAGAAGCUCGUGAUUUCUCUUGUGGAACACAUGUGAUGGCCAUCUCUUUGACCAUUAAUCUUGACUAUUUACCCCAAAUUUGACGAUCUCCUUCCUACGUUGGACUUAUCAAUAAGUGUUCUUUUGUCUUAAAUGUUGCAAGCUGUUCUGGAAGAGGCUUGUUAGUUAGGCUUGCUCCAGAAGUCGGAGAUAGGAAUCUUUACGACGUUGUCCUGUUCUCCUGUAAUUUCAGCUCCUCAUGUUUCGAUGC